CUCCUGACGCGCUCGGGCCGGGGCGCAGGGGCCUGGUCCCCGGGCCGUGGCGCUCGGACGGCUCGUGCCGCCGCAGCGCGGGGCGCCAGGGGUUCGGGCGGGGACCGACCGCCGCGCUCUCCGCGCCUGAGCUGCGGCGCCCGCGCUUCGCCCCGCGCUCUCGGCUGCCCCAGAAGGAGGCGUCGGUGCACACCCCGUCCGCCGGGCCUCCCCGUUCGACCGCACGCGCUGAGCCCCGCCGGGCUCCGAGCAAGGGACGCGGCCGCGGGUUCGAGCGACGGUCUCGUCGCUUCCGCUUUCCCCGCUUACACGGCCGGGCGGCUGCUCGCUGCUGUCCGCGCCCCGACGUUCGCAGGCGGGUGUCCGGCUCCGCGCCGGCCGCCUCCGCAGGGGACAGCGGACUCGUUGCUCUCGGCGCUCCGUGUGCUGGUUGGUCACUGAUCGGCCUCGGGGCGCGGCGGGCAGAGACGGGGAGGCCGGCUCCACGCAGAGUCACCGCCGCAGCGUCCCCGCGGGGCUCGUCCCGAGGUCCUGCCGUCACCACCUGAGCGACAGCCGGAGUCCGGGGCUCGACCGCCCGGGGGCCUCGCCGGGGCCGCCUUCCCGUGCCCGGGGCCGCCUUCCCGUGCCCGGGGCCGCCUUCCCGUGCCCAGCCCCGCUCGUGAUCGUGAUCGCGAGCACCUCCUGCCGCUACGUCGUUGGGCUUCAACAUGGGGACCUUGGGGGCUCAGACGCGCAGACCCAAGAUGGUUCCUUGCAUUUCUUUCUUGUCACUGCCCGCGAGCGUGUCCUCACCCGCUCGCCAGCGGCUGGACGUCUGCGCGAUUUCUCGUCUUUCCGUUGUUUCCGUCGGUGCUGCUGUUGGGAACACUGCCUCUCGGUGCUCCUGCACAACCACUGCCCCGGGGUGUGCUUCCCUGCAGUGCGAAGGGUGGGCCUCGGCGGUGUCCGUGUUGGACGUGCUGUGAUCUGUCACUCCUUUAUUCCAAGUGGCUGUCGGGCUUGCGCUUCUGCCAACGUCCGUGUCUUCCCUGCUGCCCCAGACUUCUCGUUUUGGGGCAGUGAGAUGGGGGUUAGAUGGUGUCUCACCGCAGCCUUAUAAGGCAUGUCCCCGAGGCCAUGUGUACACAUCUGGUGUAUUCUCUGGGCAUCUGCAUCUUCCUUCGCUGAAGUGUCAGUGUCCGGGCUGCAGGGAUUUCAGGGCGCGUGACGGAAGAAGAUGUGCCCCGAGAUGGCAGUAACACAUGCGGGCUUUCUCUGGGUGGGCUUUGACAGAUUUGUAGUGGGAAGUCCCUCCCAGAACUGGACCAUCCAGAGACACCCCCCACCCCCCCACCCCGGCAGCCAGAGGAGGAGGAGGGCAAGGAAGUCCCCAGAUGGUUAGGUGACCUUGGGCCACAGCCCAGCGGGAAGUCUCUGGGUCAGAAAGCUCCCAAGGGCAGCCUCAGUGUGGCAGCCUCAUAACCACGGGGUUUACCCUGUGACGAGCAGGUGUUGGUCGCAGUUUCGAGAAGUAUGCAGUACAGACCGGCGGCCGUAAGUGGAGAAAAGUCUGCUUGUUGGGGCCGUGUUUAAAACAACCGGAUGUGUAAAAAUGUGCGCUUGGUACUUACUGGCAGGCAUUGAACUUACAGGCCCCAAUGUGCUGCAGAGAAACGAGUAACCUGGGGGCCAGUAUGCAGAGGCCAUCGUUGGCUCACUUUUAUGAUACCCACUUCGUGUCUUUUGCUCCUUUUUAUUAUUAUUAUUUUUUUACUGGAUUGUACUGAAUACUACAAUUCAGUAGAUGUGUUGCAAGUUUCUUUCAUAUGUGCCUUGUUUUCUCACCUCCUAUCUUGAUAAAUUUAUGUCGUUAACUUCGAGUUUAUAAACUAGUUUUUUCCCCCUCAUCCUAAUAUAUAUUAACUUACUCUUCUAAAAAUAUUUAGUUUUGCUUUUGACAUUUGAAUUCUUAUGCUCUCUGGAAUUUAAUUUAUGGUUUUACUUUCUACACACAAAUGUCUCUCCUCCCAACCCAGGUUUAUUUUUUUCACUAGCCCCACUUUUCCCAACUAAUUGUCAUGUCAGCUUGGUCAUAUAGUAACAUUCCAUUCAUGGGUGGCUGUAUUUCUCUAAACUGCUUAGUCUGUUCUCUGCACAAGGAAGAUAGCUUACUUAGUAACCACACCACACCGCUCAGUCACCGUAGCUGUAGAAAAGGUCUUGAUUAUUUAGUAGGGCGAAUCUUCCUUAAGUUUCUUCUUCGUUUUAUAUUUGGGCUAUUCUUGAUUCUGUGUUUUCCGUACGUAUUUUAGAGCAAGCUUGUCAAGUCACACAGACAUAUGCACUGGGCCUGUUGGGAUUUUAAUUGGCGUUGCAUUGAAUAUACAGAUCAAUUUGGGUAGAAUUCAUAUCUUUAUGAUUCUGAGUCUUCAAAUUCAUAAACAAGGGAUAGCUAUCUUUUUAUUGGGUCUUCAUUAAUGUCUUCCAAGUAAAGGUUUGUUGUUUUCUGUUUCCAGAUCUUACACAUUUUGUGUUGCGUUUAUUCCUAGAUACUUCGUACUUUUUUUGCCAUUGUAAGUGAUCCCCUUUAAACUGAUACUUUGUAAUAGUUUAUAGAUAAAGUAGAAAUAAGUAGGAGUUUUGUAAAUUGUGGCUGGAUGGAACAGUUUGUCAUUGGUUUUAGUAACUUGUUCUUUCUAAUAAUUUGUUGAUUGGGGUUUUCUGUAUAAACAAUUAUUGUAUGAAAAUAAUGUCAGUUCCAGUCAUUUUGCUUUUUAUUUUCCUUAAAGUAUAACACUGGUUAGGACCUCUAGUACAAGGUCAGUAGCGAUGGCGAUGUCUUCUUGACGUUCUUGACUGGGCGCUUUACUUGAUCCUGAUUUUGAAAAGGAAAUUUAGAAUUAUUUUUUAGGUUUUUUGGUACAGAAAUUUAGAGCAGUCUUUUUACAGGCUUUUUGUAAAUCCCUUUUGUGAAAGAAGGACCCUCUUUUUCUUAGUUUACUGAAAAUUCUUUAUUUUGUUUUUUUUUAAUUCUUUAUUUUGAAUGGACAUUGAAUUUAAUCAAAUUUUUCCUUUGACUAUUGAGAUGAUCAUAUUUUUCUCACCCUUUAAUAUAUUAAUAUGGUAAAUGCCAUUUAUAGACUUCCUACUAUUAGAUUAUCCUUGCAUUCUUUUUUUUUUUUUUUUUUAAGAUUUUAUGUAUUUGAGAGGGCAAGCAGGAGCGGGGGGAGGGAGAGGGAGAAUCAGGCUCUCUGCUGAGUAGGGAGCGUGACACACUCAGCUUGAUCCCAGGACUCCUGGGACCAUGACCUGAGCCAAAGGCAGAUGCUUAACCGAAUGAGCCACCAGGGCGCCCUGUCCUUGCAUUCUUAGGAUAAACUACUCGACCAUAAAGUAUGACCAAUCUUAUAUGCCUUUGUGCUCAGCCUAUAUGCUGCGUAGGAUUUUUGCAUUUGUAUUAAUGAACAACAUGGGCUUGUGAUUUCCCUUUCUCAUUUUGCCUUCAUCUGUGUUUUAAGGCUCAAGGAAUGAUACAAGGAGUGUUCUAUUUAUAUGUCCUCUGGAAGAAUUUGAAUAAGAUUGGAAUGCUCUCUACCUUCAACUUUCGGUAGAAUUCACGUAUAAAACUGUAAGGGAUGGGCGUUAUCUUUGUGGGAAGACAUUUAUUUAUGUAUUUUUAUUGUUAAAGUAAACUCAGCCCAGGUUGGAGCUCCAGCGCAAGAGCCAGAGCUGCCCCGUGGCCGGCUGAUCCCCGUGAGCGCCCCGCGGGCCGAUCUCACAAUACUGCUGUAAUUCGGUUAAUACUUAUGUGAGUGCUUAGAUAUCUUAUUUCUCCUUGAAGUGGUUUAAGUAAUAUGUCUCUAGGAAUUUUCCCAAUUCGUCUAAGUUUAACAUUUAUUGGCAUGUCGUUGUUGGGAUGUUCUCUUCUCAAUCUCUCCUGUGUUUGCAGUUAAUUUCUUCUUUUUCACUUACAAUAUUGCUUGUAGUAGACGGUGUUCCCUCAAUAUCGGCUCCCCUUCUUGGAAGAGGACCAGACAUCCCCACCUAUUGUCAUGUGGAGUGCCUCUUGUGUACCCACCCAGCUGACAGUCACUGUAGUCAAGAUGACAUCUAUCCAAGCAGAAACCUAAAAAGAUAUCCUGUGUAUUUGCCCUGGCUCUCUGGAUCUUUCUCUCUUCCACAAAGAUGGCAUGUCUGUGCCUGGGGGUCCCAGGACGGAGAGGACGCAUGGAGGAAAGUCUGACAAUAGACGUCCGUUUGGGUUCUCGAACAGGGAAGGAAGUCGAGCCGGUGAGGUGCACUUACAGACCAGCUCCACUUAGUGCCACGGGAAUGACUCAGCCUCGCGGGACCAGCCUCCAAGCAGCCAUGUGAAGUCUGUCUCAGGAAAGUCUGCCUGGGGAGUACUUUAAAGACACCUUCAAUCACUCAGUAAACUCUCUUGGGUCCAGCACUUAAUGAAACACUGACCUAGAGAACAGUGGCGCCUUACCCAAACCUUGGAGAGAAGCCAGAUAAAGAGAGAGCCCCACAGGAGAGGCAGGUCCUAGAGUCAACAUACACAGAAUUACGAUAACUGAUUCUUGUGUUCCGGAAAUUAAAUGAUAAGAUGGACAAUUUCAGGAGAGAACAGGAGACUAUAAAAAAAGAACCAAAUGGAAACUCUAGAACUGAACAGUGCCAUGAAGGAUACUAGUAAUAAAUGGGUUUAACUGUU